rnacentral:rRNA from 1 species
UACGAGAGGCCCAAACGUUAUUCGGAUUUACUGGGCUUAAAGAGUUCGUAGGCGGUGCAGAAAGUGGGGUGUGAAAGCCCUCGGCUCAACUGGGCGGGGUCGGCGGAUACGGCCGAGCUGGAGCAAGCUAGGGGGUAAUGGAAUUCCCGGUGUAGUGGUGGAAUGCGUAGAUAUCGGGAGGAACACCAGUGGCGAAGGCGGUUACCUGGAGCUUUGCUGACGCUGAUGCGCGAAAGCGUGGGGAGCGAGUCCGG